AGAGUUUGAUCCUGGCUCAGGACGAACAUUGGCGGCGCGCCUAAUGCAUGCAAGUCGAGCGAACUCGUUUUCUUCGGAGAACAUAUAGUUAGCGGCGAACGGCUGAGUAACGCGUAAGUAACCUGCCUCGAAGAGGGGAAAAACCAUGAGAAAUCAUGGCUAAUUCCGCGUAAUAUCAAUUAAUUAAUUUAAUUGAAGAAAGAUUUAUCGCUUUGAGAUGGGCUUGCGUCCUAUCAGGUAGUUGGUGAGGUAAUAGCUCACCAAGCCUAAGACGGGUAGCUGGAGUGAGAGCUUGACCAGCCAGAGGGGGACUGAGACACGGCCCCCACUCCUACGGGAGGCAGCAGCAGGGAAUCUUGCACAAUGGGCGAAAGCCUGAUGCAGCGACGCCGCGUGAGGGAUGAAGGUUUUAGGAUCGUAAACCUCUUUUCUUAGGGAAUAGUUUGGAAGGUACCUAAGGAAUAAGUCACGGCUAACUACGUGCCAGCAGCCGCGGUAAUACGUAGGUGGCAAAUGUUGUCCGGAAUCAUUGGGCGUAAAGGGUCCGUAGGUGGCUUGAAUAGUCUUAUGUGAAAUCUCUUGGCUCAACCAAGAAACGCCAUAAGAAACUUUCAAGCUAGAGAUCAUCAGAGGGAGGUAGAAUUCCAGGUGUAGUGGUGAAAUGCGUAGAUAUCUGGAGGAAUACCAAUGGCGAAAGCAGCCUCCUGGGGUGAAUCUGACAUUGAGGGACGAAAGCGUGGGUAGCAAACCGGAUUAGAUACCCGGGUAGUCCAUGCCGUAAACGAUGAAUACUGGGUCU
rnacentral:rRNA from 1 species